rnacentral:rRNA from 1 species
GAUGCAACGCGAAAAACCUUACCCACCUUUGACAUGUACGGAAUCCUUUAGAGAUAGAGGAGUGCUCGAAAGAGAGCCGUAACACAGGUGCUGCAUGGCUGUCGUCAGCUCGUGUCGUGAGACGUUGGGUUAAGUCCCGCAACGAGCGCAACCCUUGUCAUUAGUUGCUACAUUCAGUUGGGCACUCUAAUGAGACUGCCGGUGACAAACCGGAGGAAGGUGGGGAUGACGUCAAGUCCUCAUGGCCCUUAUAGGUGGGGCUACACACGUCAUACAAUGGAUGGUACAAAGGGUCGCCAACCCGCGAGGGGGAGCCAAUCCCAUAAAGCCAUUCGUAGUCCGGAUCGCAGUCUGCAACUCGACUGCGUGAAGUCGGAAUCGCUAGUAAUCGUGGAUCAGAAUGUCACGGUGAAUACGUUCCCGGGUCUUGUACACACCGCCCGUCACACCAUGGGAGCGGGUUCUGCCAGAAGUAGUUAGCCUAACCGCAAGGAGGGCGAUUACCACGGCAGGGUUCGUGACUGGGGUGAAGUCGUAACAAGGUAGCCGUAUCGGAAGGU